rnacentral:rRNA from 1 species
GAUGAACGCUGGCGGCGUGCCUAAUACAUGCAAGUCGAGCGAACGGACGAGAAGCUUGCUUCUCUGACGUUAGCGGCGGACGGGUGAGUAACACGUGGAUAACCUACCUAUAAGACUGGGAUAACUUCGGGAAACCGGAGCUAAUACCGGAUGAUAUUUUGAACCGCAUGGUUCAAAAGUGAAAGACGGUUUUGCUGUCACUUAUAGAUGGAUCCGCGCUGCAUUAGCUAGUUGGUAAGGUAACGGCUUACCAAGGCAACGAUGCAUAGCCGACCUGAGAGGGUGAUCGGCCACACUGGAACUGAGACACGGUCCAGACUCCUACGGGAGGCAGCAGUAGGGAAUCUUCCGCAAUGGGCGAAAGCCUGACGGAGCAACGCCGCGUGAGUGAUGAAGGUCUUCGGAUCGUAAAACUCUGUUAUUAGGGAAGAACAAAUGUGUAAGUAACUGUGCACAUCUUGACGGUACCUAAUCAGAAAGCCACGGCUAACUACGUG